AGAUGUGACCAUUAGAUGGAAAGGUGCUUGGUACCAUUGACCGCCAUGUUUGAGUCUGCUGACCUGGCUGGAUGGGCAGUGUUCCCUUUCUCCCUCUCUAUCCCAUGCAUGUUCCUGCUAAAGCUAUGCACUCAGAGCAUGGCCUUCCCCACAGGGAAGAGCUACUCCUUUGGCAAGGAUACUUGAGUA
rnacentral:snRNA from 1 species